rnacentral:rRNA from 1 species
GACGAACGCUGGCGGCGUGCUUAACACAUGCAAGUCGAGCGGUAAGGCCCUUUCGGGGGUACACGAGCGGCGAACGGGUGAGUAACACGUGGGUGACCUGCCCUCAGCUCUGGGAUAAGCCUGGGAAACUGGGCCUAAUACUGGAUAUGACUCCACGGUGCAUGUCGUGGGGUGGAAAGCCUUGUGCGGCUGAGGAUGGGGCCCGCGGCCUAUCAGCUUGUUGGUGGGGGAUGGCCUACCAAGGCGACGACGGGUAGCCGGCCUGAGAGGGCGACCGGCCACACUGGGACUGAGACACGGCCCAGACUCCUACGGGAGGCAGCAGUGGGGAAUCUUGCGCAAUGGGCGAAAGCCUGACGCAGCGACGCCGCGUGAGGGAUGACGGCCUGGUUGUAAC